AUUGAACGCUGGCGGAAUGCUUUACACAUGCAAGUCGAGCGGCAGCACGGGGGCAACCCUGGUGGCGAGCGGCGAACGGGUGAGUAAUACAUCGGAACAUGCCCAGUCGUGGGGGAUAACACUUCGAAAGAAGUGCUAAUACCGCAUACGUCCUAGGGAGAAAGCGGGGGAUCGCAAGACCUCGCGCGAUUGGAGUGGCCGAUGUCAGAUUAGCUAGUUGGUGGGGUAAAGGCCUACCAAGGCAACGAUCUGUAGCUGGUCUGAGAGGAUGAUCAGCCACACUGGGACUGAGACACGGCCCAGACUCCUACGGGAGGCAGCAGUGGGGAAUUUUGGACAAUGGGGGCAACCCUGAUCCAGCCAUUCCGCGUGAGUGAAGAAGGCCUUCGGGUUGUAAAGCUCUUUCGGCAGGAACGAAACGGCGAGCUCUAACAUAGCUUGCUAAUGACGGUACCUGAAGAAGAAGCACCGGCUAACUACGUG
rnacentral:rRNA from 1 species